rnacentral:miRNA from 1 species
CACGGACAAUGAAUCAGUUGGC